AACGAACGCUAGCGGCAGGCUUAACACAUGCAAGUCGAGCGCCCCGCAAGGGGAGCGGCAGACGGGUGAGUAACGCGUGGGAACGUGCCCUUUGGUUCGGAACAACUCCGGGAAACUGGAGCUAAUACCGGAUAAGCCCCUCGGGGGAAAGAUUUAUCGCCAAAGGAUCGGCCCGCGUCUGAUUAGCUAGGUGGUGAGAUAAUGGCUCACCAAGGCGACGAUCAGUAGCUGGUCUGAGAGGAUGAUCAGCCACACUGGGACUGAGACACGGCCCAGACUCCUACGGGAGGCAGCAGUGGGGAAUAUUGGACAAUGGGCGCAAGCCUGAUCCAGCCAUGCCGCGUGAGUGAUGAAGGCCUUAGGGUUGUAAAGCUCUUUUGUCCGGGAAGAUAAUGACUGUACCGGAAGAAUAAGCCCCGGCUAACUUCGUGCCAGCCGCCGCCGUAA
rnacentral:rRNA from 1 species